rnacentral:rRNA from 1 species
GACGAACGCUGGCGGCGUGCUUAACACAUGCAAGUCGAACGGAAAGGCCCUGCUUUUGUGGGGUGCUCGAGUGGCGAACGGGUGAGUAACACGUGAGUAACCUGCCCUUGACUUUGGGAUAACUUCAGGAAACUGGGGCUAAUACCGGAUAGGAGCUCCUGCUGCAUGGUGGGGGUUGGAAAGUUUCGGCGGCUGGGGAUGGACUCGCGGCUUAUCAGCUUGUUGGUGGGGUAGUGGCUUACCAAGGCUUUGACGGGUAGCCGGCCUGAGAGGGUGACCGGCCACAUUGGGACUGAGAUACGGCCCAGACUCCUACGGGAGGCAGCAGUGGGGAAUAUUGCACAAUGGGCGGAAGCCUGAUGCAGCAACGCCGCGUGCGGGAUGACGGCCUUCGGGUUGUAAACCGCUUUCGCCUGUGACGAAGCGUGAGUGACGGUAAUGGGUAAAGAAGCACCGGCUAACUACGUGCCAGCAGCCGCGGUGAUACGUAGGGUGCGAGCGUUGUCCGGAUUUAUUGGGCGUAAAGGGCUCGUAGGUGGUUGAUCGCGUCGGAAGUGUAAUCUUGGGGCUUAACCCUGAGCGUGCUUUCGAUACGGGUUGACUUGAGGAAGGUAGGGGAGAAUGGAAUUCCUGGUGGAGCGGUGGAAUGCGCAGAUAUCAGGAGGAACACCAGUGGCGAAGGCGGUUCUCUGGGCCUUUCCUGACGCUGAGGAGCGAAAGCGUGGGGAGCGAACAGGCUUAGAUACCCUGGUAGUCCACGCUGUAAACGGUGGGUACUAGGUGUGGGGUCCAUUCCACGGGUUCCGUGCCGUAGCUAACGCUUUAAGUACCCCGCCUGGGGAGUACGGCCGCAAGGCUAAAACUCAAAGGAAUUGACGGGGCCCCGCACAAGCGGCGGAGCAUGCGGAUUAAUUCGAUGCAACGCGUAGAACCUUACCUGGGUUUGACAUGGAUCGGGAGUGCUCAGAGAUGGGUGUGCCUCUUUUGGGGUCGGUUCACAGGUGGUGCAUGGCUGUCGUCAGCUCGUGUCGUGAGAUGUUGGGUUAAGUCCCGCAACGAGCGCAACCCUUGUUCACUGUUGCCAGCACGUUAUGGUGGGGACUCAGUGGAGACCGCCGGGGUCAACUCGGAGGAAGGUGGGGAUGACGUCAAGUCAUCAUGCCCCUUAUGUCCAGGGCUUCACGCAUGCUACAAUGGCUGGUACAGAGAGUGGCGAGCCUGUGAGGGUGAGCGAAUCUCGGAAAGUCGGUCUCAGUUCGGAUUGGGGUCUGCAACUCGACCUCAUGAAGUCGGAGUCGCUAGUAAUCGCAGAUCAGCAACGCUGCGGUGAAUACGUUCCCGGGGCUU